UGGAUAGCACAGUCGGUAGAGCAUGAGACUCUUAAUCUCAGGGCCAUAUGUUCAAGCUCCACGUUGAACAA